rnacentral:rRNA from 1 species
UACGUAGGGUGCAAGCGUUGUCCGGAAUUAUUGGGCGUAAAGAGCUCGUAGGCGGUUUGUCGCGUCUGCUGUGAAAAUCCAGGGCUUAACCCUGGACCUGCAGUGGGUACGGGCAGACUAGAGUACUGCAGGGGAGACUGGAAUUCCUGGUGUAGCGGUGGAAUGCGCAGAUAUCAGGAGGAACACCGGUGGCGAAGGCGGGUCUCUGGGCAGUAACUGACGCUGAGGAGCGAAAGCGUGGGGAGCGAACAGG